AAUUCCGGCAAGCUCCGAGCUAAUACACGUCCGAGAGACCUCAACGGUAACUCAGAUUUGUUUUUUCCUUUUUGAAUCGUUAUUCCAAGUUGAUUUUGAAGAUGAAGAUUGUUUUGCCAUUAUUAUAAUUACUGUGGUUUGUUUUAAUUUAAGUCAUAUAUUUAUGCUACUGUUUUUGCGUUCUUGGUUUAUUUUUUGUGAUAAAUUGAGUGACUAGUGUUAGGUUAUUAGUUUAAUUUAUUUUCUUUCAUCUGUUGAAUAUUGACUAUUUAAUUAUUAUUUUAUAUUAUUUAUUAUGCAUUACUUUAGAAAAUUUAGCAUUGUCUAUUUGUUAUUUGAGAUACAGUUGACAUUCAUUUUUUAAAAUUUAUUUAUUGUGCAUUUGAUCUAGUUAUCUAGUAUUACGUUAUUUUAUGUGUUUGCUUUAAUAUUAUUCUAUUGCCAUUUAUGUUUAUCUAUUUGUGAUUUUUUGUUUGGAGUUAAUUAUAUUCAUUUUUUUUCUAAUUUCCAACAGCUAUGUUAGUUAUUAUUAUCAUUAUUAUUAUUGGUUUGAUAUUUUUACUGUCCAGUGGCCCGAUUAUAUACUUUUCAUUAAUUGUAUUUUAAUUGUCAGUGGCUCGGUUGUUAUUAUUUACUCCCUUCGUUUAAAAAAAAAUGACCUCAUUUUUUUUAGUCUGUUUAAAAAAAGAAUGAUCUCUUUCCUCUUUUAGUAACAUUUUAAUUUCAACUUUCCACGUGACAUGUUUAAGGCCACAAGAUUAAAGGACAAUUUUGUACAUUUGACAUAACUUUAAUUUAGAACCACAAGAUUCAAAAGUUUUUUUUACUUUUUUAAACUCCGUAUCAAAUCAAACUAGACCACUCUUUUUUAAACGGAGUGAGUAGUUAUUAUUAUCGUGCUAUUGUGUUGUUAUUAUUUGGGUGUUGCAUCUUAGUAUAUCGUCUUUUGUAUGUUAAAAUGGGCCAAUGAAAAAAUAUUUUCGUUAAUUUUCGAGGCCUCCCCAAUGUUAAAAGACGGAAAUUUAGUUUAUGAUUAUAUUCUUAUAUGUUAAAAUUGGCUGAUGAAGAAAUUAUCGUCGAUUUUCAAGGCCUCCUAUGUUAAUAAGACGGAUUUUUAUUUUAAGUUGUUAUUUAUAUUAUUUGAUUUAUUCAUAUUAAUUUAUUACUAACACUUUUACUUAGUGUCUUUAUAGGUAGUCGGAGUUGCUUCCCAUUGAAGCUAUUCGAAUGAAGUUCGAAUUAUACUAUUUAUUCAUUAUUUUGUAUAUAUUGACGUUAGGCAAACUUAGGUCGUUUCUUAUAUUAUUGUUUCAUUCUAUUAUUUGUGUAUAUCGCAUGUUUAUUACACUUGUAUAUUAGCUUUUUAUCUCCUCCUCAAUUUGAAAAAAAUAAAUUCAGUCGGGACCCGCAAUUGUGGAUUUCGAAGGAUGCCG
rnacentral:lncRNA from 1 species